GCUGGGUGUGGAGGUGCAUGCCUGUAAUCCCAGCAGCUUGGGAAGCUGAAGCAGGAAGAUCAAGAGUUCAAAGUCAGCCUCAGGAAAAGUGAGGUGCUAAGCAACUCAGUGAGACCCUGUCUCUA
rnacentral:sRNA from 1 species